UUUACUUAUUUUACGUUCUGUUUUUGCAGUGCAUGCUGGACCCAGGAGAGCAUUGAUCAGAGAAGCAGGAGGACUAUGGUGGCUCUCAACAGAUGUGUUGGAAGACUAAAUUGGGACUUUUUGGCCUACAUGCAAAACACUAUGUGGUGGAAAAAUAACACAAUACAUCGGCUUUAACUCACCGUCCUCACUGUGAAACACGGUGGUGGCAGCAUCAUGCUCUGGGGACGCAGGGAAGCUGUUAAGAGCUACAAUAGGAGGGUUUCCAGAGAGCCUGAAAGAGGGACUGACUGUGCAGGAACGCAUGAAGCUUUUUGAGGCUAAAGACUCCAGGAAGAUUUGAAUUUGUGGAAAAUCUCAGAUUUCCUCUUCUGUCUGAAAUUCAUCCAAAAAAAUGCCAUUCUUCCAAGCUGUCGUAUUAUUUGAUUAUUUGCAUCCAGAUUAUAAAUCCUGGUGUUGUUAUGUUGUUGUUUUUUUAUAUCACAUUCAUAAUCUGUCCAAAUUAGAGAUGAGGAAAAACCUCAAGAGGGAUUAAUUACAGCAUCACUUUUUCCCCUCAGUUCUCCUAAAUGCCAAAACACACAAACGACACAGUAUGAAUAACAUGUAAUUAGCAGUAUGAAUAAUCUGCUGUUUUUAUUCUUGUUACAGUGUUUAUAUCUAAUGGUUUUACUGUGUUUGCUGUUGCACCAGUCGAGCUGUACGUAACUACUGGAUGUGUGUGGUGGCGAAUCGCUGAGGCGUCUGCUGUACGUCUGGCUGGAGUGGCGGCUGAAAGGCUCUGUGAUGCUUCUGCUGGUGUUUUCCAGACGAGUGUGUCUGCGUGUGAUGGAGAUGUAAAAUAGGGCGGAGGUUCUCAGAUUGCACUUACCACUUGACUACUGGAGAAAGCUUGUUUUUUUGUUUUUUUAGCUGAAAUUAGUGUAGUGACUACAGAUUGGUUAUUGCAGUGCAACCAAACACGCUGACCCGUGUCAUAUUCAGUGAAAAGGAGUUUUCUUGUGAUGAUUGAUUUCUAAUUACCAUUUUUUUUAAAGCUCUUAAAACUUGGCUUUGUAUUUGGUCAUUUUAUUAUUAUUAUUUUGACAUGGUGUGAGGAUGUGCUCCUAGCGAAACUCAACCCUGCAUGACUGGGCAGCAUAACUUAAACCACAGAAUGAUCACGCUGCCUUGUUUUCUUUAUAUAUAUAUAUAU